rnacentral:rRNA from 1 species
CAAGUCGAGGAGUAAUCUGAGACCUAGAGCGGCGUACGGGUGCGUAACGCGUAUGCAACCUACCUGUUACUUGGGGAUAGCCCAGAGAAAUCUGGAUUAAUACCCGAUGGUAUCUGAGUUCUGCAUGGGACUUUGAUUAAAGAUUUAUCGGUAACGGAUGGGCAUGCGUCUGAUUAGCUAGUUGGGGGGGUAACGGCCCACCAAGGCGACGAUCAGUAGGGGUUCUGAGAGGAAGGUCCCCCACACUGGCACUGAGAUACGGGCCAGACUCCUACGGGAGGCAGCAGUAGGGAAUAUUGGGCAAUGGUCGGAAGACUGACCCAGCCAUGCCGCGUGCAGGAAGAAGGCCUAUUGGGUUGUAAACUGCUUUUAUCUGGGAAGAAAAAGCCCGUGCGCGGGAGAUUGCCGGUACCAGAUGAAUAAGCACCGGCUAACUCCGUGCCAGCAGCCGCGGUAAUACGGAGGGUGCGAGCGUUGUCCGGAUUUAUUGGGUUUAAAGGGUGCGUAGGCGGCUUGAUAAGUCAGCGGUGAAAGACUUCGGCUUAACCGGAGCAGUGCCGUUGAUACUGUUGAGCUUGAGUGUCGGAGGGGUACAUGGAAUUGAUGGUGUAGCGGUGAAAUGCAUAGAUACCAUCAGGAACACCGAUAGCGAAGGCAUUGUACUGGCCGACAACUGACGCUGAUGCACGAAAGUGUGGGGAUCGAACAGGAUUAGAUACCCUGGUAGUCCACACUGUAAACGAUGAUUACUCGCUGUUAUGGUGUAAGCUGUAGUGGCCAAGCGAAAGCGUUAAGUAAUCCACCUGGGGAGUACGCCGGCAACGGUGAAACUCAAAGGAAUUGACGG